rnacentral:tRNA from 1 species
ACUUGGCUGGCUCAGUAGGUAGAGCAUGCAACUCUUGAUCUCAGAGUUGUGAGUUCAAGUCCCACACUGAGUC